AACCCCGAUGUGAAUUUUCCCCUUACUGCAGAUUGAAGUUGAUUUUCCAGAGAAAUGACUUCGGAUGACUCUAAGCCGGUGAAGAAAGAGGAGGAGUCCAACAACAAGAGUUCCGUUUCCAAAAUGGUCGCAAAAGUUAAGAAAGAAGAGCCCGAAUCCAUGAAGAAGAAACCUAAAGCUGUGCCCAUAAAGAAGGAACUUAAAGUGAAGAAGGAAAUCGACGACGACGACGACCUUCCCCUCGCCAGAAGGACCUCCAACUCCAAGGAAGUGAAUAAAAAGAAGAAGACAAAGGAGAAAGAAAAGGAGCAGGAGAAGAAGAGAGCGAAAAAGGUUUAUGAUUUACCUGGCCAGAAACGUGAUCCACCCGAGGAGAAAGAUCCUCUUCGAAUUUUCUACGAGAGUUUAUACGAGCAAAUUCCCCAGAGCGAAAUGUCACAAAUCUGGCUGAUGGAAUCGGGGUUGCUUCCUAAGGAAAUUGCAAAAAAAGUAUUCGAGAAGAAACAAAAGAAAUUCCCGCAGAAGCUGUCUUCUCCAGUUAAGGUGGUAUCGGCUGCGAAGAGUAGCACCAAGAGUAGCACCAAGUCUGUGACUGUUAAGAAGAAAAACCCAACUUCCCCUUUGUCUUCUCUUAAAAAGAGCACUACGAACCCCACGGCGAAGCAGUCUAACAAGAGGAAGUCUAAGGCUCUCAGCUCAGAAGAUGACGAUGUCACUGAUUCUGAUGAUGAAGUUAUUAUAGCCGCAGCAAAGAGGAGAAAAAUGGCUUAAUUAUGCCCAUCCGUAACAACAUUUUUAUUUUGAUAUGAUGUUAUUUAACUUUUGAAAUGUUAACCACAGUAUGCUUCAAUACUCACAUCUGAACUUUCACUCUGACACACGUGUAUGUCUUGUCUGAUGUAUUACUUUUUCUUUGUGGAUUUGGAUAGGAUGAGGAAGAGAAAGAUGAGGGGGUAAAUUAAGAGAAAAGGAUUGUUCUUAUGCAAAACUAUGGUGAAUAGCUGAGGGCAUGCAUCUUAGAGAAAAAUAGACUCUUGUGCAAGGAGAUUGAGUUUAAGGAUUGUGGGAUUUUAUCGGAGAUGAGAGCUUAUUAUAAGGAGUAUAAGGAUGGGGAAGGUUGCAGGAAUCAGAAUCUUGUAAGUUACAUUUGCAAAUUUAAUUUUGUUGAGGUAGCUACUGCAAGCCAUACAUAAGUUAUUGAUCA